rfam:Cyanobium sp. PCC 7001 scf_1106012173546 genomic scaffold, whole genome shotgun sequence.
CUGCCACAAUGACGGAGUCCGGUUUCGGCCGGACUAGGUGGCUCACACCAGUGUUUCGGACAGCGGUUCGAUUCCGCUCAGCUCCAUUUCACGGGGCUGCAAUGGUUUCGACGGGGCAUGAGGAGGGUGACUGAAGCCUGCUCGGUCAGAGCAAACCCGUAACAGCGAACAACAUCGUUCGUUUCUCCCGUCAAGCUGCCCCCGUGGCCGCCUGACAUCUCUAAGGGAGAUGGGGUGAGGUCAGCCUUAUCACCCAAAUGACCGCUUGGGGGUGGAAGCCCCC